rnacentral:rRNA from 1 species
GACGAACGCUGGCGGCGUGCCUAAUACAUGCAAGUAGAACGCUGAAGAGAGGAGCUUGCUCUUCUUGGAUGAGUUGCGAACGGGUGAGUAACGCGUAGGUAACCUGCCUUGUAGCGGGGGAUAACUAUUGGAAACGAUAGCUAAUACCGCAUAACAAUGGAUGACCCAUGUCAUUUAUUUGAAAGGGGCAAAUGCUCCACUACAAGAUGGACCUGCGUUGUAUUAGCUAGUAGGUGAGGUAACGGCUCACCUAGGCGACGGUACAUAGCCGACCUGAGAGGGUGAUCGGCCACACGGGGCAUGAGACACGGCCCAGACUCCUACGGGAGGCAGCAGUAGGGAAUCUUCGGCAAUGGGGGCAACGCUGACCGAGCAACGCCGCGUGAGUGAAGAAGGUUUUCGGAUCGUAAAGCUCUGUUGUAAGUCAAGAACGAGGGUGAGAGUGGAAAGUUCACACUGUGACGGUAGCUUAACAGAAAGGGACGGCUAACUACGUG